GGUUAAGCGACUAAGCGUACACGGUGGAUGCCCUGGCAGUCAGAGGCGAUGAAGGACGUGCUAAUCUGCGAUAAGCGUCGGUAAGGUGAUAUGAACCGUUAUAACCGGCGAUUUCCGAAUGGGGAAACCCAGUGUGUUUCGACACACUAUCAUUAACUGAAUCCAUAGGUUAAUGAGGCGAACCGGGGGAACUGAAACAUCUAAGUACCCCGAGGAAAAGAAAUCAACCGAGAUUCCCCCAGUAGCGGCGAGCGAACGGGGAGCAGCCCAGAGCCUGAAUCAGUGUGUGUGUUAGUGGAAGCGUCUGGAAAGGCGCGCGAUACAGGGUGACAGCCCCGUACACAAAAAUGCACAUAUUGUGAGCUCGAUGAGUAGGGCGGGACACGUGGUAUCCUGUCUGAAUAUGGGGGGACCAUCCUCCAAGGCUAAAUACUCCUGACUGACCGAUAGUGAACCAGUACCGUGAGGGAAAGGCGAAAAGAACCCCGGCGAGGGGAGUGAAAAAGAACCUGAAACCGUGUACGUACAAGCAGUGGGAGCCUCUUUUAUGGGGUGACUGCGUACCUUUUGUAUAAUGGGUCAGCGACUUAUAUUCUGUAGCAAGGUUAACCGAAUAGGGGAGCCGAAGGGAAACCGAGUCUUAACUGGGCGUUAAGUUGCAGGGUAUAGACCCGAAACCCGGUGAUCUAGCCAUGGGCAGGUUGAAGGUUGGGUAACACUAACUGGAGGACCGAACCGACUAAUGUUGAAAAAUUAGCGGAUGACUUGUGGCUGGGGGUGAAAGGCCAAUCAAACCGGGAGAUAGCUGGUUCUCCCCGAAAGCUAUUUAGGUAGCGCCUCGUGAAUUCAUCUCCGGGGGUAGAGCACUGUUUCGGCAAGGGGGUCAUCCCGACUUACCAACCCGAUGCAAACUGCGAAUACCGGAGAAUGUUAUCACGGGAGACACACGGCGGGUGCUAACGUCCGUCGUGAAGAGGGAAACAACCCAGACCGCCAGCUAAGGUCCCAAAGUCAUGGUUAAGUGGGAAACGAUGUGGGAAGGCCCAGACAGCCAGGAUGUUGGCUUAGAAGCAGCCAUCAUUUAAAGAAAGCGUAAUAGCUCACUGGUCGAGUCGGCCUGCGCGGAAGAUGUAACGGGGCUAAACCAUGCACCGAAGCUGCGGCAGCGACACUAUGUGUUGUUGGGUAGGGGAGCGUUCUGUAAGCCUGUGAAGGUGUGCUGUGAGGCAUGCUGGAGGUAUCAGAAGUGCGAAUGCUGACAUAAGUAACGAUAAAGCGGGUGAAAAGCCCGCUCGCCGGAAGACCAAGGGUUCCUGUCCAACGUUAAUCGGGGCAGGGUGAGUCGACCCCUAAGGCGAGGCCGAAAGGCGUAGUCGAUGGGAAACAGGUUAAUAUUCCUGUACUUGGUGUUACUGCGAAGGGGGGACGGAGAAGGCUAUGUUGGCCGGGCGACGGUUGUCCCGGUUUAAGCGUGUAGGCUGGUUUUCCAGGCAAAUCCGGAAAAUCAAGGCUGAGGCGUGAUGACGAGGCACUACGGUGCUGAAGCAACAAAUGCCCUGCUUCCAGGAAAAGCCUCUAAGCAUCAGGUAACAUCAAAUCGUACCCCAAACCGACACAGGUGGUCAGGUAGAGAAUACCAAGGCGCUUGAGAGAACUCGGGUGAAGGAACUAGGCAAAAUGGUGCCGUAACUUCGGGAGAAGGCACGCUGAUAUGUAGGUGAAGUCCCUCGCGGAUGGAGCUGAAAUCAGUCGAAGAUACCAGCUGGCUGCAACUGUUUAUUAAAAACACAGCACUGUGCAAACACGAAAGUGGACGUAUACGGUGUGACGCCUGCCCGGUGCCGGAAGGUUAAUUGAUGGGGUCAGCGCAAGCGAAGCUCUUGAUCGAAGCCCCGGUAAACGGCGGCCGUAACUAUAACGGUCCUAAGGUAGCGAAAUUCCUUGUCGGGUAAGUUCCGACCUGCACGAAUGGCGUAAUGAUGGCCAGGCUGUCUCCACCCGAGACUCAGUGAAAUUGAACUCGCUGUGAAGAUGCAGUGUACCCGCGGCAAGACGGAAAGACCCCGUGAACCUUUACUAUAGCUUGACACUGAACAUUGAGCCUUGAUGUGUAGGAUAGGUGGGAGGCUUAGAAGUGUGGACGCCAGUCUGCAUGGAGCCGACCUUGAAAUACCACCCUUUAAUGUUUGAUGUUCUAACGUGGACCCGUGAUCCGGGUUGCGGACAGUGUCUGGUGGGUAGUUUGACUGGGGCGGUCUCCUCCUAAAGAGUAACGGAGGAGCACGAAGGUUGGCUAAUCCUGGUCGGACAUCAGGAGGUUAGUGCAAUGGCAUAAGCCAGCUUGACUGCGAGCGUGACGGCGCGAGCAGGUGCGAAAGCAGGUCAUAGUGAUCCGGUGGUUCUGAAUGGAAGGGCCAUCGCUCAACGGAUAAAAGGUACUCCGGGGAUAACAGGCUGAUACCGCCCAAGAGUUCAUAUCGACGGCGGUGUUUGGCACCUCGAUGUCGGCUCAUCACAUCCUGGGGCUGAAGUAGGUCCCAAGGGUAUGGCUGUUCGCCAUUUAAAGUGGUACGCGAGCUGGGUUUAGAACGUCGUGAGACAGUUCGGUCCCUAUCUGCCGUGGGCGCUGGAGAACUGAGGGGGGCUGCUCCUAGUACGAGAGGACCGGAGUGGACGCAUCACUGGUGUUCGGGUUGUCAUGCCAAUGGCACUGCCCGGUAGCUAAAUGCGGAAGAGAUAAGUGCUGAAAGCAUCUAAGCACGAAACUUGCCCCGAGAUGAGUUCUCCCUGACCCUUUAAGGGUCCUGAAGGAACGUUGAAGACGACGACGUUGAUAGGCCAGGUGUGUAAGCGCAGCGAUGCGUUGAGCUAACCGGUACUAAUGAACCGUGAGGCUUAACCUU
rnacentral:rRNA from 1 species